GGGCCGCCAUUUUUCUAGCCAUAGAAAGAGAAGGGGAACGGCGCACGGGUGAGUAACACGUAUCCCACCCGCCCAUAACUCCGGAAUAGCCUUUUCAAAGAAAGAUUAAUACCGGAUGGCAUACGAAUAUCGCAUGAUAUUUUUUAUUAAAGAAUUUCGGUUAUCGAUGGGGAUGCGUUCCAUUAGUUUGUUGGCGGGGUAACGGCCCACCAAGACUACGAUGGAUAGGGGUUUCUGAGAGGAAGGUCCCCCACAUUGGAACUGAGACACGGUCCAAACUCCUACGGGAGGCAGCAGUGAGGAAUAUUGGUCAAUGGGCGAGAGCCUGAACCAGCCAAGUAGCGUGAAGGAUGAAGGCUCUAUGGGUCGUAAACUUCUUUUAUAUGGGAAUAAAGUUUUCCACGUGUGGAAUUUUUGUAUGUACCAUAUGAAUAAGGAUUCGGCUAACUCCGUGCCAGCAGCCGCGGUAAUACGGAGGAUCCGAGCGUUAUCCGGAUUUAUUGGGUUUAAAGGGAGCGUAGGUGGAUUGUUAAGUCAGUUGUGAAAGUUUGCGGCUCAACCGUAAAAUUGCAGUUGAAACUGGCAGUCUUGAGUACAGUAGAGGUGGGCGGAAUUCGUGGUGUAGCGGUGAAAUGCUUAGAUAUCACGAAGAACUCCGAUUGCGAAGGCAGCUCACUAGACUGUUACUGACACUGAUGCUCGAAAGUGUGGGUAUCAAACAGGAUUAGAUACCCUGGUAGUCCACACAGUAAACGAUGAAUACUCGCUGUUUGCGAUAUACAGUAAGCGGCCAAGCGAAAGCAUUAAGUAUUCCACCUGGGGAGUACGUUCGCAAGAAUGAAACUCAAAGGAAUUGACGGGGGCCCGCACAAGCGGAGGAACAUGUGGUUUAAUUCGAUGAUACGCGAGGAACCUUACCCGGGCUUGAAAGUUACUGACGAUUCUGGAAACAGGAUUUCCCUUCGGGGCAGGAAACUAGGUGCUGCAUGGUUGUCGUCAGCUCGUGCCGUGAGGUGUCGGGUUAAGUCCCAUAACGAGCGCAACCCCUACUGAUAGUUGCCAUCAG
rnacentral:rRNA from 1 species